rnacentral:rRNA from 2 species
UACAUGACUCUCGGCAACGGAUAUCUCGGCUCUCGCAUCGAUGAAGAACGUAGCAAAAUGCGAUACCUGGUGUGAAUUGCAGAAUCCCGUGAACCAUCAAGUUUUUGAACGCAAGUUGCGCCUGAGGCCUUCUGGCAGAGGGCAUGUCUGACUGGGAGUCACGU